GAUGAACGCUGGCGGCGUGCCUAAUACAUGCAAGUCGAGCGAACAGACGAGGAGCUUGCUCCUCUGACGUUAGCGGCGGACGGGUGAGUAACACGUGGAUAACCUACCUAUAAGACUGGGAUAACUUCGGGAAACCGGAGCUAAUACCGGAUAAUAUCUUGAACCGCAUGGUUCAAUAGUGAAAUACGGCUUUGCUGUCACUUAUAGAUGGAUCCGCGCCGCAUUAGCUAGUUGGUAAGGUAACGGCCUACCAAGGCAACGAUGCGUAGCCGACCUGAGAGGGUGAUCGGCCACACUGGAACUGAGACACGGUCCAGGCUCCUACGGGAGGCAGCAGUAGGGAAUCUGCCGCAAUGGGCGAAAGCCUGACGGAACGACGCCACGUGAGAGAUGAAGGUCUUCGGAUCGUAAAGAUCUGUUAUUAGGGAAAAACAAAUGUGUAAGUAACUGUGCACGUCUUGACGGUAACGAAUCAGAAAGCCACGGCUAACUACGUG
rnacentral:rRNA from 1 species